rnacentral:rRNA from 1 species
GGAAUUUUGGGCAAUGGGCGAAAGCCUGACCCAGCAACGCCGCGUGAAGGAUGAAGUAUUUCGGUAUGUAAACUUCGUAAGAAUGGGAAGAAUAAAUGACGGUACCAUUUGUACGGUCCGGCUAACUACGUGCCAGCAGCCGCGGUAAUACGUAGGGACCAAGCGUUGUUCGGAUUUACUGGGCGUAAAGGGAGCGUAGGCGGCGUGACAAGUCACUUGUGAAAUCUCCGGGCUUAACUCGGAGCUGCCAAGUGAUACUGUCGUGCUAGAGUGCAGAAGGGGCAAUCGGAAUUCUUGGUGUAGCGGUGAAAUGCGUAGAUAUCAAGAGGAACACCAGAGGCGAAGGCGGAUUGCUGGGCUGACACUGACGCUGAGGCUCGAAAGCUAGGGGAGCAAAC